ensembl:lncRNA
GUCAUUACCUAGGUGGUGUUAUUAAGGGGAGAGGUGUGUCAUUACCUAGGUGUUAUUAUUAAGGGGAGAGGUGUGUCAUUACCUAGGUGGUGUUAUUAAGGGGAAAGGUGUGUCAUUAUCUAGGUGUUGUUAUUAAGGGGAGAGGUGUGUCAUUAUUUAGGUGGUGUUAUAAUGAAGGGGAGAGGUGUGUCAUUACCUAGGUGGUGUUAUUAAGGGGAGAGGUGUGUCAUUAUCUAGGUGGUGUUAUGAAGGGGUGCGGUGUGUCAUUAUCUAGGUGGUGUUAUGAAGGGGAGAGGUGUGUCAUUAUCUAGGUGGUGUUAUGAAGGGGAGAGGUGUGUCAUUAUCUAGGUGGUGUUAUGAAGGGGAGAGGUGUGUCAUUAUCUAGGUGGUGUUAUGAAGGGGAGAUGUGUGUCAUUAUCUAGGUGGUGUUAAAAUUGGGAGAGGUGUGUCAUUACCUAGGUGGUGUUAUGAAGGGGAGAGGUGUGUCAUUAUCUAGGUGGUGUUAUGAAUGGGAGAGGUGUGUCAUUAUCUAGGUGGUGUUAUGAAGGGGAGAGGUGUGUCAUUAUCUAGGUGGUGUUAUGAAGGGAAGAGG